rnacentral:rRNA from 1 species
GGCGUAGGCGAUGGAUAACAGGUUGAUAUUCCUGUACCACCUAUAAUCGUUUUAAUCGAUGGGGGGACGCAGUAGGAUAGGCGAAGCGUGCGAUUGGAUUGCACGUCUAAGCAGUAAGGCUGAGUAUUAGGCAAAUCCGGUACUCGUUAAGGCUGAGCUGUGAUGGGGAGAAGACAUUGUGUCUUCGAGUCGUUGAUUUCACACUGCCGAGAAAAGCCUCUAGAUAGAAAAUAGGUGCCCGUACCGCAAACCGACACAGGUAGUCAAGAUGAGAAUUCUAAGGUGAGCGAGCGAACUCUCGUUAAGGAACUCGGCAAAAUGACCCCGUAACUUCGGGAGAAGGGGUGCUCUUUAGGGUUAACGCCCAGAAGAGCCGCAGUGAAUAGGCCCAAGCGACUGUUUAUCAAAAACACAGGUCUCUGCUAAACCGUAAGGUGAUGUAUAGGGGCUGACGCCUGCCCGGUGCUGGAAGGUUAAGAGGAGUGGUUAGCUUCUGCGAAGCUACGAAUCGAAGCCCCAGUAAACGGCGGCCGUAACUAUAACGGUCCUAAGGUAGCGAAAUUCCUUGUCGGGUAAGUUCCGACCCGCACGAAAGGCGUAACGAUUUGGGCACUGUCUCAACGAGAGACUCGGUGAAAUCAUAGUACCUGUGAAGAUGCAGGUUACCCGCGACAGGACGGAAAGACCCCGUGGAGCUUUACUGUAGCCUGAUAUUGAAAUUCGGCACAGCUUGUACAGGAUAGGUAGGAGCCUUUGAAACGUGAGCGCUAGCUUACGUGGAGGCGCUGGUGGGAUACUACCCUAGCUGUGUUGGCUUUCUAACCCGCACCACUUAUCGUGGUGGGAGACAGUGUCAGGCGGGCAGUUUGACUGGGGCGGUCGCCUCCUAAAAGGUAACGGAGGCGCUCAAAGGUUCCCUCAGAAUGGUUGGAAAUCAUUCAUAGAGUGUAAAGGCAUAAGGGAGCUUGACUGCGAGACCUACAAGUCGAGCAGGGUCGAAAGACGGACUUAGUGAUCCGGUGGUUCCGCAUGGAAGGGCCAUCGCUCAACGGAUAAAAGCUACCCCGGGGAUAACAGGCUUAUCUCCCCCAAGAGUUCACAUCGACGGGGAGGUUUGGCACCUCGAUGUCGGCUCAUCGCAUCCUGGGGCUGUAGUCGGUCCCAAGGGUUGGGCUGUUCGCCCAUUAAAGCGGUACGCGAGCUGGGUUCAGAACGUCGUGAGACAGUUCGGUCCCUAUCCGUCGUGGGCGUAGGAAAUUUGAGAGGAGCUGUCCUUAGUACGAGAGGACCGGGAUGGACAUACCUCUGGUGUACCAGUUGUCGUGCCAACGGCAUAGCUGGGUAGCUAUGUGUGGACGGGAUAAGUGCUGAAAGCAUCUAAGCAUGAAGCCCCCCUCAAGAUGAGAUUUCCCAACUUCGGUUAUAAGAUCCCUCAAAGAUGAUGAGGUUAAUAGGUUCGAGGUGGAAGCAUGGUGACAUGUGGAGCUGACGAAUACUAAUCGAUCGAAGACUUAAUCAAAUU